rnacentral:sRNA from 1 species
ACCAACACCCAGCCUCUCGACUGUGCUGGAGAAACGCAUCGUGUCCUCUUGCACACGCUGCGAUGCGCCUUCGAC